GUGUGAAAGGAGCUAUCACGGGGGGAAAAAAAAGGAAAAAAAAAAGAAAGCAGCGUGACUGAUAGCAUAGCAGCAUAGCUUCUGCCAGAAUGGUGAAAUCUAGACCUUUGGGGGACCAAAACAAUGAAAGAAUCUAUGUCAGCAAAUGGACCACAUCCUGCCUCUGGUCACAGACAUUAACACUGCCUAGAGAUGAUUCUGGGAUUCUUCAUUCAAGAAUUAGCUUGCCUUUUCUGAGGAGGAAAUCAAGGACAGACAUAAAAGUUGUACUGAAGGAGGAGAUCUGUAGGAGUUGUUUCACAGAGGAGGGGUUUUGUAUUACAGGGCUCCUCAGAAAGUGCCAGAACCCAGACACUUAGCAUCCCAGAUUAGCAAGACUGUUUAUCAGACCCCACUUUGCUUCUUCCUCAUCCAUUACUUCGGAUGCCAACAGGCAAUAGGGAUAUUUUCCCUUUUAUUCUUUUUAUUCUUUUUCUUCCUGGGCAUGCUGCCAGCUCUUGGUCAUCCUGUCAGUGGAGAAGCACAGAGCUGCUAGCCAUUCCUUGUGCCGGGUCCCCAACCUAGCUGAGGAGGGAACAACAGCCAAUUCACUUCUCUUGGCUUAGAGGUGCCAGCACAUGUGAAUGAAGCUGGUUACUCAAAGACACAAGCACGCAUAGCUGAAAGACUGGCAAACAAGCACCCAUGGCAAGGAUUCUUGGAAGAGGGUUUGGCAGCAGAGGAGGAAUUUUUUUUUUCAAAACAGAAGCUUAUAGUCCGGGAGUAGGAAGUGCAUGUAGAAGGAACAGAAAGUACAUCCGAGCAGUAUCACACAUCCCUUCAGAACUCAUCUGCAGGUGUAUGAAACAGGUGAGGAAGGCAAGCAAAAUGUACCAUAGGUGGUGAGGUGCAACAUACAGUAGAGCUGGAACUGCAACAGCUUCCUCCCACCAGCCAUGACAGCACCUCUGUCUCCUCAGUUGCACUGCCCCUGAGCCCCUGGAGCCCAGUUUCUGACCGUAAGUCAAGGAACUUAAAGUACAUUCUCCAUUUUGUACCAGGAACGCACCUCUUUUCAGCUAGGAUUUUGGCCCUGUCAUCCUCAUUCCCUCAACAUAUUGAUACAAAGUGCUUUUGUGCCACACUUGAGUGUCCGCAGUGUUAUGUGCACACCUGCGAAGAGUUCUCUCGUGGUUUGCAAAUAGCUGAGCUCUGGUCAAAUGUAGUUCUGCACUUUUUUAUUUGGUUUAGCUUUCCCCCCCUCACUCCUUUACAGCUGGACUUCCUGGCACUGAUGACAACCCUUUGAGCCUGGCAGUUCAGCCAGUUUUUGGUUUCACUAUCCAUUUAUGUAGCUUGUACUUAAUCAGUGAGAAUGUUACAGGAGACAGUGUUGAAAGCCUUGCCAAAAUCAAGAUCAACAAAAUCCCCUGCUCUCCUCCAAGAGGAGACUAAGCCAGUUGUAUCCAUGUAUGUCCACUAAGCCAGUUGUAUCUUUGUAGAAGGCUGUCAGGUUGGGCAGGCAUGAUUUCCUCUUUGUUAAUUCAUGCCGACUACUUCAAAUCACGUUCUUGUCCUUAAUGCUUGGAAAUGUUUUCCAGAAUUAUCCGCUCUGUCAACCCCCCAGGGAUUGAGGUGAGGCUGGGCUGACCAGCUUAUAGUUUCUAGGAUCCUCCUUUUUCAAGAUCAGAGUAACAUUUGCUUUCUUACACUCCUCAGAACCCUUCCCCAAUCACCAUGUCCUUUCAAAGAUUAUCAGGAGUGGCUUUACAACAACAUCAGCCAGCUUCUUCAGCACAUACAGCUCCUCAUAGGCACAUACAAUCGUGCCCCAUGGACUUGUGUGUGUCCAGUUUGUUUAAAUGUUCCCUAACCUGAUCCUUCUGCAGCGGAGGUAAGUCUUUCUUCCUCCAGUCUUUCCCUUGGAUUUAAGGAGCCUGGGAUCCCAGAAGAUCAGUCUUUCCAGUAAAGACUGAGGUGGAAAAGCCAUUGAGUAACUCUGCCUUUUCCAUGUCCUUUACCACUACAUCUCCUGCCCCAUUCAGCACUGUGCCCAUGGUUUCCUUGGUCUUCUGCUGCUGAUAAACCUGUAGAAGCCCUUCAUGUUGCCCUUCACAUCUCUUACCACACUAAACUCCAGUUUUGUCAGGAGCUCCUCCUGCCUUUGCUUGAUUUUCUGCAUGUGGAGAUGAACUGGUUUUGAGCUUGGAAAAAGGCACUCUUGAAAAUCAACCAGCUCCUGGACCCCUCUUCUCUCCAGAGCUGUCUCCCAUGAGAUUCUCCCAAGCUGAUCCCCGCAGACUUCAAAGUGCAUUUUCCUUAAGGGAGUGGUUGUGAUCCUGCCAUUUGACUUGUUCCCUCUUUUCAGAAUCCUGAACUCCACCAUCUCAUAGUUGCUGCAGCCAAGACUGCUCCCAGCCUUCACCUUCCCUGUUUAUGAGGUCCAACAGAACAUCUCACCUUGCUGGCUCCUACGUUAUCCAAAGUGACAUUUCUUGAGAUGGUACAGACUGAGACUUCCAGGACAAAAUAAAAUAAUUCCAUACAGAAAUUGUGAGAGAAAAUAUUUUUCACUUAUGUAAAUACAGCUUGAUUAAAAUGAAAUAAAAUUAUCACACAUAAAGAGCUGAUGUAUGCUCAUAUUUGCCAGGACUGUGAUCCUUUAUGUAAUUGGUUUUGUCAUAACAAAAUGGGAUCACCUAAGAAAGGAGCUGUAGGUGUAGUUCAGAUUUUCUUAUGCCUCUUGCUCUGGUUAUGAAAGAUUUCUUGUCUCCAAGUCAGAAAACUACAUGAUGCAAAUUUUAUUCUUUUUAAGCUUCUUUUAUAAGUGGGUUUUAGUAACAGGCUGAUUUGAUGUAGAAGAAAAGAGAAAAGCAUUGUUUAGAAUACUAUAUUUACUGGUUUAGCUAGAACUCAUUUAUUAUUGGCUAAUCUUGGAAAGUUUGGUUUAACUGAUUGUUGGGAAAUGGUUCUCCUCCGAAUCUUGCUGUAAUGUACUCUGCUGGGUAUAAGUUAAUAGAUUCUUUUACCUGAUAGCUUCCAGUUAAAAGGAUUGCCUUUGGCCCAGCCUAACAAUGACAGCUCUGAUAAAUGCUACUCUUUUCAGUCUCCUUGAAUGUCAGUCUAAGUGAGCUGAGUCAUAAAGCUGCCCUUGUCUUUGUCAAAAAGUCAAUAUCUUUACAAUAUAUUAACACUAAUUGCCCUGGGGCCACCUGACUAGAAGUACAUACUGAUGGAUCUAAAUGCCCUUAGUCUAGGGAAAUAGCUUAUGCUUUACAUUUUCCCGAAUUUGGCAUUUGUAAAGGUUAUGUAUUAGAGGAAAUCAUAUGAAUUUUCUUGGUUUAAUUAUUUCAUCAUUUUUCACUGCAUAAACUGGACUGCAGAAACACACACAAUUGAAAAUGCAAGUAUGCUCCUGUAUUUCGGUAGCUACGCAGUCACAGAUCUGGGCCAUGACACAUGACCCUGAAAAAAGAUUCCCCAUUUGGCCAAAGACAGAAACUAAAAGGGAGAGGAGUAUGAUAUAUGUGCUUGAACUUCACACAAAUAUUAUGCAUCACAACCAGAUGACGUUUCUCAUCAAAAAUCAUUAAUUAAACUGUUUGACAUAUAUUCAGCAAGUGCCACUAAAUGUUAGAAGAAUUCAGCUUUAGGCUUUUUAUGAAAAUUGGACAUUAGAGUCCAUGUUUAACCUUGAAAUAAUUAGACUUCGCUUAGUCAAGUCAGAUCUGCUAACAUUAAAAAUAAACUUAAGCCAAUAAGCACAAGCAGUAUCUGACAUUCUUUUGUUAAUAAUCUUAACCGCACUUCUCAAAUUUCAAGCAAAGUCCAUAAAAUCUCACACUUUUUGUGUUCUAGUUUGACCACUGAGAAAGCAGGGGUGCUGUUCCUGACUUCUGAAGGAGAACAUGAGUGUUACUGUGGGAUCUGGUUGAACAACAUCAUGUAAGGACACUUCUGAGCCUGAGAUCAUCAGUAUAACUAUCAGAUUAUAGAUAGUGUAGUUUUCAAAUGUUUAUUAAUUGCUUCUUGCAUUGCAAACAACGUGUGUGUGUCACUGCCUGCUAAUUAACGACAGAAAAUAAUAACCGAUGUGAAAUUACAUAAAAAAUGCUGAUGUGAAAAUUGGUUGGUCUUUUCCCUGUGCUGAGGAAAAUAUGGGUAUGAAGUUUUGCAUGUGGAACUGCUCUUUUCUUUACAUUAAAGUCUCUAAAUCCCUGUGGUAUAAAAUACGGGGUGAAAUGUGCAGAUGGCGCUGGAAUAUUGAAGAUUUAGUCCCUAUUCUUUCAUUUUCAUAUGAACACUAGCUACGUUCAUGUAAAAGUAACUCAACAUUACAGACAAAAUAUGGUACUACAGUGUGACUUUGUAAGUUGUUGUUGUGUUGUAUCUUCCUUUAUCUGAAGGCUGUGAAAAUACGAAGUUGUGAAAGAUAUCUAAAGAUUCAAUUCCAGUUUCUGUGAAGAGAUCGGCACUGAUUAAGUCCUAAGGAGAAAUAGAAUAGACUUCUAAGGAGCAGAGCAGCAGACAUAGGAUAUGUUUAAUUAAGCAUUAUCAUAUUUAAACCUGGAACCUGAAGCAGAAUUCAAAGCUUCUUUUUUUUUAAAAAAAAAAAAAAGAAGUACCAGCAAUACUGAUACAGUCCAUAGACUUAGUUUCUCUGAAUAGGAUCAAAGCAGCCCGCACUGCUAACAAAGAGCUGUCUGAGGUCAAUAUUUGUAUUUUCCAUGUAUCAGUGGAAAUAUUUCAUGUGUCUCUCAUCCCUCCUGCCCUGUCCUUGGCUGCCCCAGGUGGUGCUGUUGCAAGAAAUGGCACCAUUCUCUUCCAUUCUGUUCUGGAGGGGGCCGCCUUCUGGAUGAAGGGAACCAUAUUGCUGCUGGAACUCAAAUUUAGAGGGGAUUUAAACCCUCCUGCUUUUUUUAGAGGUGCAUGUCCUGGGCUAGAGGCUGGCUGUUCAUUAUAAACAGGUGUCAGAGUCAUGAAACAGCCACAGAAGAAAGGGAAGGAUAACCUUGUAGUUACAUUGCAUUCCCUACUCGGGUCAUUUUGGCGUUUCUAAAAGAGAAGGCAAUGAUACUCAAUUAACACAAACACACGCAGGUGUUGUGAGGGUAACAUUAACACUUGUGAGGAAUAGGAAGCUGCUCAGAAAGAAGCUCCACCUCUGGAAUUAUGAACCAUCUGCGCUGCGUAGUUCACAGCAAGUUUAACCUAAUUGAACAUUAAGUGAGAAGCAUGGUCUUUGCGUAGUAGGAUGUGGCCUUGUUAUGAAUGCUUUAGGCUGCGCUUGUCUAUAAAGCCAGAAUUUGGUAAGCACUUACUUUGACAGUGGUUUUUAGAACUCCACCCUCACUUCAGUAAAAUCUUCUCAACUGGGCAAGGGCAGCUGCUUAUGAGGCCACCUAAUGGAUUGUUCAGGUUAAAAAUACCUCAGCCAAAAGAAAAGAGAGGGAGGGUUUUUUUAUGACUAAGUACAUGAACCAGCAAAACUGGCUAGUUUAGCCAGCGUGUCUGAUUCAAGAAGUGCUUGUCAAACUACACCCCGGUGCUGUGGCUGUCCUUAUCAUCAAGAACUGCCAAACCACCUCUUUCAUCAUCGCUUACUCCCAUUCUUGAGUUCUGAGUACAGGGCAAUGAGUGCAUGAGGAUCUGAAGCCUGAGAAAACCUCCAAACAAAUGUCUGUGCUGGCAUUCCGAACUGUUGCCUGUGGAAGAAAUCAAAAUAAGCCAAUGAUUCAAGGUCAGGAGCUGAGCAUCCUGCUUGUAGACAGCCCUCCUUAAAAAUGUGUAUGCACAAGAUUUAGUCAAGCUACUAUUCAGUUAUUUAAAUUUGAGUCCACUAUAUGUUUUUACUAAUAUGUCCCAAUUAUUUUUUAUAGUUUUAUGAUGAUUACCGCAGUGUUCCAUGACUAAUUUCAAAUGUUAGGAAAAACUCUAUUCUCUCCAUUUUAAUUUUUUUCUCUUCCAAGUUCUAAUUCUCAAUUUUAUAAAAAUUCUUAAUAUCCUGACAGCCUGUUUAUUGUCGUUCUAAUUUGUUUUUUAGCACGUUAGCCAAAUAAACUGUCUGAACACAUUUCCAAGAGUA